AGUAACACGUGGGCAACCUGCCUGNUAAGACUGGGNAUAACACCGGGCAAACCGGUGCUAAUACCGGAUAACUCUUCACCUCUCAUGAGGUGAAGCUGAAAGUCGGUUUCGGCUGACACUUACAGAUGGGCCCGCGGCGCAUUAGCUAGUUGGUGAGGUAACGGCUCACCAAGGCGACGAUGCGUAGCCGACCUGAGAGGGUGAUCGGCCACACUGGGACUGAGACACGGCCCAGACUCCUACGGGAGGCAGCAGUAGGGAAUCUUCCGCAAUGGACGAAAGUCUGACGGAGCAACGCCGCGUGAGUGAUGAAGGCCUUCGGGUCGUAAAACUCUGUUGUUAGGGAAGAACAAGUACCGGAGUAACUGCCGGUACCUUGACGGUACCUAACCAGAAAGCCACGGCUAACUACGUGCCAGCAGCCGCGGUAAUACGUAGGUGGCAAGCGUUGUCCGGAAUUAUUGGGCGUAAAGCGCGCGCAGGCGGUCCUUUAAGUCUGAUGUGAAAGCCCACGGCUCAACCGUGGAGGGUCAUUGG
rnacentral:rRNA from 1 species